UACAGAGGUCUCAAGCGUUGUUCGGAUUCAUUGGGCGUAAAGGGCGCGUAGGCUGCGGGGCAAGUCGGGUGUGAAAUCUCAGAGCUCAACUCUGAAACUGCACUCGAUACUGCUUGCUUGAGGACUGGAGAGGAGAUUGGAAUUCACGGUGUAGCAGUGAAAUGCGUAGAUAUCGUGAGGAAGACCAGUGGCGAAGGCGGAUCUCUGGACAGUUCCUGACGCUGAGGCACGAAGGCCAGGGGAGCAAACGGG
rnacentral:rRNA from 1 species